rnacentral:rRNA from 1 species
CUCCUACGGGAGGCAGCAGUGGGGAAUAUUGCGCAAUGGGGGAAACCCUGACGCAGCGACACCAGGUGAAGGAUGAAGGCCUUCGGGUCGUAAACCUCUGUCAGAAGGGAAGAAACGAACCAUUUCAAAUAGGCAAGGC